rfam:Lactobacillus kefiranofaciens subsp. kefirgranum DSM 10550 = JCM 8572 strain DSM 10550 NODE_30, whole genome shotgun sequence.
CGGGAAAUGGCUCAGUUUGGUAGAGCGCUGCGUUCGGGACGCAGAGGUCGCAAGUUCAAAUCUUGUUUUCCCGA